rnacentral:rRNA from 1 species
UGGGGGAUAUCGCACAAUGGGCGAAAGCCUGAUGCAGCGACGCCGCGUGGGGGAUGAAGGCCUUCGGGUUGUAAACUUCUUUUGCUCUGAACAAGGCGCACCAUGGGGUGUGUUGAGUGUAGGGGUUGAUUAGCGCCGGCUAACUACGUGCCAGCAGCCGCGGUAAUACGUAGGGCGCGAGCGUUGUCCGGAAUUAUUGGGCGUAAAGGGCUUGUAGGUGGCUGGUUGCGUCUGUCGUGAAAGCUCAUGGCUUAACUGUGGGUUUGCGGUGGGUACGGGCUGGCUUGAGUGCAGUAGGGGAGGCUGGAAUUCCUGGUGUAGCGGUGGAAUGCGCAGAUAUCAGGAGGAAUACCGGUGGCGAAGGCGGGUCUCUGGGCUGUUACUGACACUGAGGAGCGAAAGCAUGGGGAGCGAACAGG